rnacentral:lncRNA from 1 species
GUCUCAUUCUUUACUCCUUUGGCAUGGGUCCUAAAACAUGAGUGCUUGAAUGCCGGGAUAAUAUUCUAUGUAAGUUAUGUUCGCAUAUGCUUACUAACUGGCCAUGACUAAACAAUGGUUGUUGCUUUAUAUGAUCACUUCACAAACGUAUCUAACAUCGAUGAACAGUUUACACAUUUACCAUAAAAUGCUAGAAAGAGAAUAGUUUGAUUAACUGAACUGUUGAUCCUGUUACAAGUACAUCCUCCAUCAUGACAACAUAGCAUGAUCAAAUUAUAUGCAUUUUUCCUUCCUUGCUUGUAUAGAUGUAGUGUUCCGUGACAAUGCUUCAGGGAUAUGUUAUUAAGUAUAUACUUCCCUGAUAUUCAAGCGUUCUUACUUCAUUUAUUCUGUGCACAUGAACGUCGUUCAAAAAGGGCCGUACAGCCCUUUUUAUCUUAUUUUGCGAGCGAGUUAAUAAGGUUUAAAACAUUGCCACCAGGUCGUAAAACUAGUCUCGUCACGGUCAUUAUUUUCCUCUUCUGUCGCCGUUAGGCAAAGUACGGCGGUCGUCGUUGUGUACACGACUGCAUGAGAAGUGGUGAACCGUCGAUUAUAUUCUCCAGCAGCAUACUCGCAUACCUUUAUCAUGUACAUAUUUGAUAUAUGUUAUCUCAUAUAUGUCUGUUACCUUAUUCAUGUUUUGAAAAUGUUUAUGUAAGGCUGUCCUCUCUGACCCGUGAAGGUCCGGGUUAGAAUGAACCUUCAGUAACCCAUGCUUGUCGUUUGGGGCGGCUAACGGCUUGGUUGACACAUGUCAUCGGUUCCCAAUUGCGCAGAUCGAUGCUGCUGCUGUUGAUCACUGGAUUGUCUUGUCCACACUUGAUUUUUGGUCAUUUCUCUAUGAUGUUUUAAAAAUGUUUUUGCGAAAAGGUUAGCAAAUGUUUUCACGAUGUUGUAUUCACAAGAAUAAUAAUUUAGCAAUGUUU